GGCGGCGUGCUUAACACAUGCAAGUCGAGCGGAAAGGCCCUUUCGGGGGUACUCGAGCGGCGAACGGGUGAGUAACACGUGAGUAAUCUGCCCUUCACUUGGGGAUAACUACCGGAAACGGUGGCUAAUACCCGAUACGACGUAGUCUCGCACGGGAUCUGCGUGGAAAGUUUUUUCGGUGGGGGAUGUGCUCGCGGCCUAUCAGCUUGUUGGUGGGGUAAUGGCCUACCAAGGCUUCGACGGGUAGCCGGCCUGAGAGGGUGACCGGCCACACUGGGACUGAGACACGGCCCAGACUCCUACGGGAGGCAGCAGUGGGGAAUAUUGGACAAUGGGCGAAAGCCUGAUCCAGCAACGCCGCGUAGGGGAUGACGGCCUUCGGGUUGUAAACCUCUUUCAGCGGGGACGAAGCGCCGGUAAUGGUGGUGACGGUACCCGCAGAAGAAGCACCGGCCAACUACGUGCCAGCAGCCGCGGUAAUACGUACGGUGCGAGCGUUGUCCGGAAUUAUUGGGCGUAAAGGGCUCGUAGGCGGUUUGUCGCGUCGGGAGUGAAAACGCCGGGCUUAACUCGGUGCUUGCUUUCGAUACGGGCAGACUAGGAGGCAUGCA
rnacentral:rRNA from 1 species